AAUAAAGAAAGGCAAACCUACUGAAAGGUAGGGGCGCAAAGCUAGAGGGUCUAAGGGGGAACCUAUGACAGCCAGUUGCUCCG
rfam:Desulfotomaculum reducens MI-1, complete genome.